AUAGAGCAAUGUGUGUUGCAUCAGUGAGACUGAAGUUCUGAACAUUUAAAGGUCUCCCCACUAAAAAUUAUUUAAAAAUGUAGAGGAUUGUUCGGAUGGAGAUACAUCGGUGAAUGUCAGAGAUGAAGCAGGCCUCUCCAGCAUUAACGAUGGCGAUAUAAAAGCUUGAUGGAAGUCACUUGGAAGAAACAAUGGCGAGAAAAUGAUGGCAUAUCACCUGGAAAUGGACUGGGUAGUGUAUGCAGUUGAGAAAAUUCAGAUAUUGGGGGUAGUUCGAGCAGAGGGGGUGCGGCACAUAAGACUCUGGAUACCCAAGACAUCACGGGUGAGUUUUCUUUUCUUUAUUUGCGCUUUUUCUAUCAUCCGGUCACACAUCAUGUCUCCAUUGUUUGUUAUGUUUGUACAUUCUUUUGCGCCUUAGCCAUGGAUAUAAUUAUAUUGUUGUUGAUUCAGCUAAGACGACUCAUUUGGUAUCUUAGUCACUGCUUCUAUCAACGUCAGCAACUCAAGCCAUCCCAGUCUGUUCAGUCGAGGUGUCUUAGAAUAUGUAUUUACUGAAGAUUACAUUACAGUACUUAAUUUUCUUAAAUAUUAACAAGCAUUUGCCUUUGCGUGAGAUAUUGAGCAUGGGAAGACUAAUUGAGUUGUGAUGUCAUUAUAUAAGUUGCGCACUUGUGCAAAUGUUAUGGAGUUCUGAGCUUUGCAAAUGUUAUGGACCAUAAUGAGGUAAUUUUCAGCUCUCUUGGGACUGCAAGUCUGCUAUCAUUCUUCCUUGCUUUAUUUCCAUAAUAGUUGGAUUCUAAUAAAAAGUUUUAGCUGGUUCAACACUUGCAAGCACUCUUUUUUGUAUUACAAGUUGAUCGUCCACCAUGGUCUCAUAAACAUAAAUUCACAAAAUAUGUGAUAAUUGGCUGGGUAUAAUAUCUGUUGCUGCUCGGUGUCUUUUGUGCAAGUUGCUUUUAUCUGAAUUCCAUGCAAGUUGAAUUUUUAAUCCUAAUAAUGUCGUGGUCCAUGUUGCAUACAUAACUUGCUCUUUAUGAUGUUCUGAUCAUAGUACUCAUGGCCUUUAGUAGAUUGCCUUAGAAUGAAAGGAAUGUAAAGUUGAACAGACUUGGGCGUCAGGCAGAGAAAUCAAAUUGACUUGGGUGUUGCCAGUGAUUAAAGAUGAAUAGAUGAUUAGGUCACUUGCAGGUUCUGUACGUUUUGUGCAAUCUUGGUUUGGAGAAUCAGCAUUUAUAAUUAUCGAUGUAUAUUCAUGUAUUGUUUUGCAAGUUUUGCCAUUUCUCUGAAUGUUUGCAGUAAAAUGUUUGGUUAGAUGACCUCCUUGAUUUCUUUUUGUCUGGCAUAACAAUUAUUGAAGCUAAUAAAGUUUAGCUUACUCUUGGUGUGAAAUGUAUCCAAAUUGCUAUUUUUUUUCUAGACUAGACUGUUAGUAGUAUAAAAUGUAAGAUUGGAAGAAUUUUUUAGAGAAGAGCUUGCAUACCUACAAUGUUGCCUUAUAUCAGAUCUUUUUGCGUGUGUAUAUGUAUGGUAAGGUGCUUUGUUUUGUUUUGAAGCUAUUGCUCUUUAACACUUUCUCCUUUCGUCUUUUUUUCCACGAUCAAUGAAUAUAAGUGUAUUUCAUCCACCAGUAGACGAGAUGAAGACAUUUGGGAGCACAAGUAAAGGUAUGUUAUCAACAUAAAACCGAUACGACCUUCUCUAACAUUUUAAUUGGAUGUGUGUGAUUUGAUAAAUCACAUAUCAGCUGGACGCAUCGAGAGGUCCGAUUGUGGUUUGGGCUGUUGGUCUGAGAGACUUGCAUGACCUCUAUAGUGCAUAUGAGCGAGUGAGCUAAAAGAUCUUUCAUGGUUUUACCACUUAUUCAGAUUGGAGAGCACACAGUCAAGUCACACCAUCGGCAAGAUUAUCAACGUAUACAAAUUAUAAUCUAUAUGGAGGUUGUGCUUAAAUAAAUUAAUGUAUAUCUCUUAAGGACUUAGUACUAUUUGAUAUGGCACCAUUGGGCAGCAACGCCUGUACUAUGUCCUCAACUCACUUGUAUAAAAUAAAGCCAAUAUUUAUUACCAGGUCUAUACAUUA